AGAGUUUGAUCAUGGCUCAGGAUGAACGCUGACAGAAUGCUUAACACAUGCAAGUCGACUGGAAUUCUUCUUUGGAAGAUAGUACGGUGGCGGACGGGUGAGUAACGCGUAAAGAAUUUGCCCUUCAGACUGGGACAACUAACCGAAAGGUUAGCUAAUACCGGAUAUUAUGAGACCUUGGCAUCAAGGAUUUAUGAAAGCUAUAUGCGCUGGAGGAGAACUUUGCGUCCCAUUAGGUAGUUGGUAGGGUAAUGGCCUACCAAGCCGACGAUGGGUAGCCGGCCUGAGAGGGUGAACGGCCACAAGGGGACUGAGACACGGCCCUUACUCCUACGGGAGGCAGCAGUGGGGAAUAUUGGACAAUGGACCAAAAGUCUGAUCCAGCAAUUCUGUGUGCACGAUGAAGGUCUUCGGAUUGUAAAGUGCUUUCAGGUGGGAAGAAGAAAGUGACGGUACCACCAGAAGAAGCGACGGCUAAAUACGUGCCAGCAGCCGCGGUAAUACGUAUGUCGCAAGCGUUAUCCGGAAUUAUUGGGCGUAAAGCGGGUCUAGGCGGCUUGUUAAGUCAGAUGUGAAAAUGCGGGGCUCAACUCCGUAUUGCGUUUGAAACUGGCAGGCUAGAGUACUGGAGAGGUGGGCGGAACUACAAGUGUAGAGGUGAAAUUCGUAGAUAUUUGUAGGAAUGCCGAUAGUGAAGACAGCUCACUGGACAGAUACUGACGCUAAAGCUCGAAAGCGUGGGGAGCAAACAGGAUUAGAUACCCUGGUAGUCCACGCCGUAAACGAUGUCUACUUGAAGGUUGUGGCCUUGAGCCGUGGCUUUCGGAGCUAACGCGUUAAGUAGACCGCCUGGGGAGUACGGUCGCAAGAUUAAAACUCAAAUGAAUUGACGGGGGCCCGCACAAGCGGUGGAGCAUGUGGUUUAAUUCGAUGCAACGCGAAGAACCUUACCUACUCUUGACAUCCAGAGAAUUCGCUAGAGAUAGCUUAGUGCCUUCGGGAACUCUGAGACAGGUGCUGCAUGGCUGUCGUCAGCUCGUGUUGUGAAAUGUUGGGUUAAGUCCCGCAACGAGCGCAACCCUUAUCCUUGUUUGCCAGCACGUAAUGGUGGGAACUCCAGGGAGACUGCCGGUGAUAAACCGGAGGAAGGUGGGGACGACGUCAAGUCGUCAUGGCCCUUACGAGUAGGGCUACACACGUGCUACAAUGGCGUAUACAGAGGGCUGCAAACUAGCGAUAGUGAGCGAAUCCCACAAAGUACGUCGUAGUCCGGAUUGGAGUCUGCAACUCGACUCCAUGAAGUCGGAAUCGCUAGUAAUCGUGAAUCAGAAUGUCACGGUGAAUACGUUCCCGGGCCUUGUACACACCGCCCGUCACACCAUGGGAGUGGGCUGCACCAGAAGCAGAUAGCUUAACCUUCGGGAGGGCGUUUACCACGGUGUGGUUCAUGACUGGGGUGAAGUCGUAACAAGGUAGCCGU
rnacentral:rRNA from 1 species